GAUGAACGCUGGCGGCGUGCCUAAUACAUGCAAGUCGAGCGAAUGGAUUAAGAGCUUGCUCUUAUGAAGUUAGCGGCGGACGGGUGAGUAACACGUGGGUAACCUGCCCAUAAGACUGGGAUAACUCCGGGAAACCGGGGCUAAUACCGGAUAACAUUUUGAACCGCAUGGUUCGAAAUUGAAAGGCGGCUUCGGCUGUUAACUAUGGAUGGACCCGGGUCGCAUUAGCUUGUUGGUGAGGUAACGGCUCACCAAGGCAACGAUGCGUAGCCGACCUGAGAGGGUGAUCGGCCACACUGGGACUGAGACACGGCCCAGACUCCUACGGGAGGCAGCAGUAGGGAAUCUUCCGCAAUGGACGAAAGUCUGACGGAGCAACGCCGCGUGAGUGAUGAAGGCUUUCGGGUCGUAAAACUCUGUUGUUAGGGAAGAACAAGUGCUAGUUGAAUAAGCUGACACCUUGACGGUACCUAACCAGAAAGCCACGGCUAACUACGUGCCAGCAGCCGCGGUAA
rnacentral:rRNA from 1 species